rnacentral:lncRNA from 1 species
GGACUCUGAAAACAAGAUCAUUUAUGAAGUCUCUGCAAAAAAUAAGUCUAGAUAUUCAGUUUAGAAUGGUGAAUAUUUGAAAAUUUGGCCUGGAACAAGUUGCGAACCAGCUGAAAGCAUUAUUCCUGAAAUAACGUCAAGCCACACCAUUAUUUACCACCGGGCUCAGAACACCGCAGAACGUGACUUACGUGAGGGAACUGGGACUUAGUUCCGCCGUCUCCACUCGUCCGCGGUGUCCAGUGAGUUUAUGGGGCUCGAGCC